UUGCGUAGACGGAAACACCUUGCGGAGCGCGCAAGGCAAAACGCGUAACUUAGCCACCCCACCAAAAAAAAGAAAAAAGAAAAAAAAAAAAAAAAAAAAGAAGAGGCAAAACGAGUGCAAAACCCCCAACGGUAAUUGGCGGGUAUCGGUUUGGUUUCUAUUUCCAACGAACAGUUAAGGCGUUGAACCUUCGUUCUCACUCACAGGUCCUUCGACACGACGAUCAAAUAUUCAAACGCUCCGCCAAAUUCCUAAACUUCACAACCCCCGGAAAUUUCAGCGAUCUCGCGUCCCAUCUCUGCUAAUCGUCAAGCAAAACCCUCUUACUCAAUGAUGCAGCAAGGUGAUUCCGCCACUUCGUGUUACCAGUUCUAUCAAUCUCAACUCCAAAACCCUAACCCUAACCCUAGCUUUAACCCCAGCGAUUCCUCGCAAGCUACGUAUGCAUCUGCGUCCGCUCCUCCGUUCCCCUACGAUCAGUAUUCAUAUGAGUACCCUGAUCUUGUUCCUAAUCCACCUUCUUUCCCUCAUUUGACGCCUAAUGGACCUUACGAUCAAAAUCAGACGCCUUUGGAUUAUGCUUCCUUCAGUAGGGCUCCAUACGGUCACCGCGGUGAUUCGACUUUGCUCACUUGUGAAGAUCCGUAUCAGAGUGCCGCGAGCCGGAGGGGAGGUUACUUUGAUGGCAAUGCCGGAGGUUAUUCUGAUGAUGUUGGUGUUGCUGUUUAUGCUUAUGAAGGAAGCAUGGUAGAGCCACUUGGUGGUCGCGAAACUGGCCUUGAGCCUUCUGGUAAGACAGCUUUUGAUGAUUAUGGGAGGCCAAUAUGCACUUCAUCCGGUAAGGAUGGGGUGGAAUUGGCAUCAUCAGAUGGGAAUGUUAAUGGAAUUCCAAAAAAGGGGAUGGAACCCGGUAUGAAGAGUGGGGUGCAGAAGUUUCAUGUGAAGCUUUUGGCAGAAGAUGGAGGUCAGAGUAGCAUCGAUGUUCUUUGCCAGAUUGGCUUUAAUGGGAUUCAAAUGCUCGAUCCUUCCUCAGGUCGGAAAUUGAGAAUAUAUCCACUUGAAACAAUCAUGAGAUGGGAAGUAUUGGAUUCGUCUAUCUUUGAGUUCUGGGCCAAAAGCUCCAUUGAUAUUGAAGAUAAACGCAUCAGGCUGCAGUCAAACAACUAUACUACAAACAUCAUUCUGGACACACUUACAGCAGCAACAGUUCAGGUCAAGGAGAUAGGUGGAAGGGAUGAACCUUCAGACUCUUUCAAGGUCUCUGAGCAAUUGUCAGAGAAGAAGAAAGGCUUUGCUGAUUGGAUAAACCUGAUGAAACCUAGCAAUGAGGAGAAAGAUCACUGGGUUCCUGAUGAAGUAGUUACCAAGUGUAUGGCUUGUAGCACAGAAUUUGGGGCUUUUGUGCGUAAGCAUCAUUGCAGGAACUGUGGAGAAAUUUUCUGUGACAAGUGUACCCAAGGUCGAGUUGCACUCACUGCAGAUGAGCUAGCUGAACCAGUUCGAGUUUGUGACCAGUGCAUGGCUGAAGUUACUCAAAGGCUAAGUAAUUCAAGGGAAGCGUCUGGAAAAUUUUCUGGAUUGCCGAGCCACAAAGAUCUUGCAAAAAAGCUUCAGGAGAUGCUGGACAGAAAUCACAAGACAUCAUCAGGUUUGACGUCUGACAGAUCUAUGACGCAGAUAAGAGAGGUUGAAUGUCCUACUUGUACUGUUCAUUUGCAGGUUCAGGUUCCAACCAUUGGUUCGAAAACCCUCGAGUGCAGCGUCUGCCAACAUCCGUUUCUUGUGAAUGCUCAUUAGCCUACCACGUUUACAGCAAUUCCUUUAUCAAAAAAUCAAAAUCUCUCUCUCUCUGUGCAAUAACAUUACAUAGAUUUUAUAGCUCAUUUCUGAAUGUUGUCAGAAACCCCUAUAUCAUUUGAAAUCAUUUGUCCUCAAGCAAAGAUGAAUUCCAUGAAUGAGGGUUUCCUAGUUGCUUUUCAAAGACGUGAUGUUGUAGAAACUAGCUAGGAAGAGGAAGCAAUACUCGGACACCACCCAGGGGCAGAAGAAAAGAAAACCAUGGAUUUUGAAUUCCAAUUGUUGAUUACUGAUAACUCACUUCAACAUGGAACUACAAGAUGGAUGAAUUUAUGCUCUGCAAGUCAAUUAAAAUACGUAUAUAAUUGCUAAA